rnacentral:rRNA from 1 species
UACGUAGGGGGCAAGCGUUGUCCGGAGUACUGGCGUAAAGACGCACGCAGGCGGUCUCUUAAGUUUGGUAGUGACAGUUGGUGGCUUAACUGCCAAAAGUGCUUCGAAAACUGAGAGACUUGAGGGCUUCAGAGGGACACGGAAUUCCGGUGGAGUGGUGAAAUGCGUAGAGAUCCGGAGGAACACCAAAGGCGAAGGCAGUGUCCUGGGGAGUACCUGACGCUCAGGUGCGAAAGCCAGGGGAGCGAACGGG